GUACCGCAACUAAGCUCGCCACGACCCAAUCGGCCUCUGCUCUCUGCUCUCGUCUCGUUCCCGCCGUCUUUUUUCUGCGUUUCUACUAGCCGCUGUGGAUCUAAUCGCUCGACGCUGUUUUCGCGGAUCGAAACGGUAUUGAACUUGCCAGCCUAUCGACGAACGCAUCAAUCGGAAUCGCGAAACAAUCGCGAAUGGAGAAAAAUUUCAGGUUCCUGGUGACUUCUGGCACAUGGCAGACUGAAGAGUUCGUCUUUGAAUUAAACAAAGACCAGAAAGUUAAGAAAACAAGACCGGCGAGUUUAGCUAACAAAUCACAUUGGUUGGCAGCAAACCACCUAUUUGACGGUGGCUGAUUGUUCCGAAGACAAUAUCUCUUGACAAGUUGUAUGUAGUCAUACAAUUGGCUAUGGAUUG